UCCAGUCUGGGGGCUGAGAGUCCAGUGGAAACGCACAGAGAGAGGGCGCGUCUGCCUCCAUCGGGCUGCGUCCUGUGGGGCGCCUGGCUGAGGGUCCUGGCAUCUCUGCGAUGAAGACUCACGCGUUCUGAGGGAGGACUUCUGCAAAGUGCCUGGAUCACGGAGGACGGACCCCAUCUGUGGAUCAGGCCGCGGUUAUCAGAGGCCUGCGAUCAGAUAGAUGUGCAGAGCCCAGCGGCUUAUGCAGCAAAGCGAAGCUUCAGGCCCGGUCGAGGAAGGGAACUGAGCCGUGUACCUCCCCCUCACACAGGCGACCACCCCACGCCGGCUGGCAUGUGGCCUCCACAGACCUUGCAACACCAGGCAGGGACAAAGGUAUUAUCUGAUCCAGGGUAGAUGAGAGAAACAACCCCAUCUCUAACUCUGCCCGGCCUCCGCUUCUGUCUGAGUAAUUAUGCUCUCCCUCACUUUGUUUCAUUUAUAAAAGCAAAAUUUUAUGCCCAAUAAAUCUA